GCAGUUCCCCUACGGCUACCUUGUUACGACUUCACCCCAGUCGCUGACCCGACCGUGGUCGGCUGCUCCCCUUGCGGGUUAGCGCACCGGCUUCGGGUCGAACCAACUCCCAUGGUGUGACGGGCGGUGUGUACAAGGCCCGGGAACGGAUUCACCGCGGCAUGCUGAUCCGCGAUUACUAGCGAUUCCGACUUCAUGCAGUCGAGUUGCAGACUGCAAUCCGAACUGAGACGGCUUUUUGAGAUUAGCUCCCCCUUGCGGGAUCGCAACCCACUGUCACCGCCAUUGUAGCACGUGUGUAGCCCAGCCCGUAAGGGCCAUGAGGACUUGACGUCAUCCCCACCUUCCUCCGGCUUGUCACCGGCAGUUUCUUCAGAGUGCCCGGCC
rnacentral:rRNA from 1 species